AUGGAGGUAAAACCGCCGCCUGGUCGCCCCCAGCCCGACUCCGGCCGUCGCCGUCGCCGCCGGGGGGAGGAGGGUCAUGAUCCCAAGGAACCAGAGCAGUUGAGAAAGCUGUUUAUUGGUGGUCUGAGCUUUGAAACUACAGAUGAUAGCUUAAGAGAACAUUUUGAGAAAUGGGGCACGCUUACAGAUUGUGUGGUGAUGAGAGACCCCCAAACAAAACGUUCCAGGGGCUUUGGCUUUGUGACUUACUCUUGUGUUGAAGAAGUGGAUGCAGCAAUGUGUGCACGACCACACAAGGUUGAUGGGCGUGUAGUGGAGCCAAAGAGAGCUGUUUCUAGAGAGGAUUCUGUAAAGCCUGGUGCCCAUCUAACAGUGAAGAAAAUUUUUGUUGGUGGUAUUAAAGAAGAUACAGAAGAAUAUAAUUUGAGAGACUACUUUGAAAAGUAUGGCAAGAUUGAAACCAUAGAAGUUAUGGAAGACAGGCAGAGUGGGAAAAAGAGAGGAUUUGCUUUUGUAACUUUUGAUGAUCAUGAUACAGUUGAUAAAAUUGUUGUUCAGAAAUACCACACUAUUAAUGGGCAUAAUUGUGAAGUGAAAAAGGCCCUUUCUAAACAAGAGAUGCAAUCUGCUGGAUCACAAAGAGGUCGUGGAGGUGGAUCCGGCAACUUUAUGGGUCGUGGAGGAAACUUUGGAGGUGGUGGAGGUAACUUUGGCCGUGGUGGAAACUUUGGUGGAAGAGGAGGCUAUGGUGGUGGAGGUGGUGGCAGCCGAGGGAGUUAUGGAGGAGGUGAUGGUGGAUACAAUGGAUUUGGAGGCUCGCUGAAUGACGACCUGACCUUGGACCCUAAAGCAGACCCCUUUCCCAGCACCUCCCUACAGAACCAGGUUCUAGAGACAGUCUCAUCCACCCAAGGACUGGACAGAAUCCAUGCCUACCUGAGCCUCUGA